GGGCCAACGCGGGGUGGGGGAGCCGAAGCCUGUGUGACACAAUCAAGGGGACUCGCGGGGAGGAAUUCGGUGCGAAUCCGGAGCGGUCCCGCCACUGUGAGCGUCCCAGCGCAAGCCAGGUCUAUCCCGCAAGUCAAGUCGCGG
rnacentral:ncRNA from 2 species